rnacentral:tmRNA from 16 species
GGGGCUGAUUCUGGAUUCGACGGGAUUUGCGAAACCCAAGGUGCAUGCCGAGGGGCGGUUGGCCUCGUAAAAAGCCGCAAAAAAAUAGUCGCAAACGACGAAAACUACGCUUUAGCAGCUUAAUAACCUGCUUAGAGCCCUCUCUCCCUAGCCUCCGCUCUUAGGACGGGGAUCAAGAGAGGUCAAACCCAAAAGAGAUCGCGUGGAUGCCCUGCCUGGGGUUGAAGCGUUAAAACGAAUCAGGCUAGUCUGGUAGUGGCGUGUCCGUCCGCAGGUGCCAGGCGAAUGUAAAGACAGACUAAGCAUGUAGUACCGAGGAUGUAGGAAUUUCGGACGCGGGUUCAACUCCCGCCAGCUCCACCA